rnacentral:misc_RNA from 1 species
CCUUUCUUAUACAGCCUGAGCGCGGAGGUUGAGCCAGCUGCUUCGGUAGCAGGCUCCCUUCCAGCUCCUGUAUUCCACCCUUGUUUUUGCGCACCUGUGUUUCCUCGGCAGGCCUUUCUGCCGAUAGGACAAACCUUAUAACCUAUUGAAUCUUCAAUUAGCGUCUGAAAUUAAACAAUAAUUA